rnacentral:rRNA from 1 species
UACGGGGGAGCAAGCGUUGUCGGAUUUACUGGGCGUAAGGGCGGCGUAGGCGGCCAGCGCAAGUCAGUUGUGAAAUCUCCGGGCUUAACUCCGGAACGGUCAACUGAUACUGCGCGGCUAGAGUGCAGAAGGGGCAAGCUGGAAUUCUCGGGUGUAGCGGUGAAAAUGCGUAGAUAUCGAGAGGAACACCUGCGGCGAAGGCGGGUUGCUGGGCUGACACUGACGCUGAUGCGCGAAAGCCAGGGGAGGCGAAACGGG